GCAAUUUGCAGUGGUUAGAAAUGACAAAGGAUGGGUGGUAGGAUCCAGAGAAAAAACAGUGAAACCCGAUGGACCUUAAAUAGAUCUGAGGGCACUGAUUUGAUUAUUUUGGGUGAAAUCUUUUAAGAAAAUCUUGUCAGAUUCUUCACAGAAAAUUUGGUAAAGCCUAUAUUUCAUCGCCAGCCUAGCAAAGUUCACCUUGUGCCCAACCUUCUGUCUCCCUGAGUCAGACCUGCAGACGAUUGCAUGCCACCAGCUGUCUUCACUCCUGAGAACAUGACACAAAGGAAUGCUCCCUGUCAAGUUCUUCAUUAUCCUUCUGAUGAAUUUCCCCUGGUUUAAACAAGUUGGUGGUAGACAGACCUUUCUCGCAUUUUCACAGACGUGCCAGGAGGAAACCCAGCGUCUCUCAGUUUCCUUUAAAUAUAUGAGAUACCAUGAAAGGAUUUGAGCGUUUUUUUAUGUGAAUCCAAAGAUGACAUUUACAAAAGGUGGAGAAGCAGUUCCCUACUGAGGGACGUGGAUACAAAAAGCAGAUGACACAACACAUCCCAUAGAGUUCCCAGGGAAGAAUGAACCCAGAUUCUUGACCUGCAGAGGUUAUCGCAGUCGACUUCAGGCUGGAACGGGCAUUGCUCUUGCACUGAAGAAAGUCUGUCCUGACUCCCUCAGAGUGCCUCAACAUCAACCAAGAGCCACCGUGAACCUCUGGGGCACUGAGCCUGGCCACCAGCACCCCCACCCCAGCCCAUAUGGCCUGGGCCUCUCCCUUGAUGUUUAAAGGAGAUGAUAAAAAUGCUGCAACCCAGAUAAUGAUCACCUUACUCUUCAAAAAUACUGCCCAAGUUCUUUGUUCAAGAUGCCAAGAACCUGGAUACCCUCCACUGGUAACAAAUAUGACUUUGUUUUUAGCAAGCAACUUUGCAGUGUAAUUAAGUUAAGGAUCUUGAGAUGAGAUCAUCUUGGAAUAUCUGGGUGGGCCCUAAAUCCAAUGACAAGUGUCCUCAUAGGAAGGGAAGAUACACACAGAGGAGAAGGUGGUGUGAAGAUGGAAGCCAAGACUGUUGAUACCAGUUGGAGAGCACCAAGAACUACCCGCAGCCACUGAAAGCUAGGAGAGAGGCAUAGGACUGUCUCCUUCAGACCCUCCAGAAAGACCAAACCUGCCCGUGCCUUGAUUUCAGACUUUUGGCCUCCCACAUUGUGAGAGAAUAAAAUUUUGUUUUUGAAGCCAUCUAG
rnacentral:lncRNA from 10 species